rnacentral:lncRNA from 1 species
UUUUUUAUUUGUCAAGAAAACUUGAUCACAAAAGGGCUUUGCCUCUAAGAAUGAACAAAUUUCUCAAACUUUCCCUUAGUGUGGGGGUGAUCCUUCGUUAGGGUUCCUUAAAAAGAAAUUUUAAAAGGUUCAAACGGGAUAGCAAGAGAUAAUUUUUCUCUCUCUCUCUCUCUCUUUUUUUUGGAAGUAUAGAAGAAAAAUGAUCAUUUCUCAUUUCAAACAUGAAUACUCGUAAUGG